rnacentral:rRNA from 1 species
GUGUCAGCAGCCGCGGUAAUACGUAGGGGGCAAGCGUUGUCCGGAAUUAUUGGGCGUAAAGCGCGCGCAGGCGGCGGAGUAAGUCUGAUGUAUAAGGCCGGGGCUCAACCCCGGAGCGCAUCGGAAACUGUUUCGCUUGAGUGCAGGAGAGGGGAGCGGAAUUCCACGUGUAGCGGUGAAAUGCGUAGAGAUGUGGAGGAACACCAGUGGCGAAGGCGGCUCUCUGGCCUGUAACUGACGCUGAGGCGCGAAAGCGUGGGGAGCAAACAGGAUUAGAUACCCUGGUAGUCC